UCCUGGUUAACCCAGGCAGUCUCACUAGAGUUCCCACCUUAAAUGUUGGCAACUAGUGAUAAGGGUUGCGCUCGUUGCGGGACUUAACCCAACACCUCACGGCACGAGCUGACGACAGCCAUGCAGCACCUGUGUUCCUGUCCUUUCGGAAGUCGGCAUCUCUGCCGCUGUCAGGAACAUGUCAAGCCUGGGUAAGGUUCUUCGCGUUGCAUCGAAUUAAACCACAUGCUCCACUGCUUGUGCGGGCCCCCGUCAAUUCUUUUGAGUUUCACCCUUGCGAGCGUACUCCUCAGGCGGUACACUUAUCGCGUUAGCUUCGACACAACUGGGGUUGAGACCAGUUACACCAAGUGUACAUCGUUUACGGCAAGGACUAC
rnacentral:misc_RNA from 1 species